ACUGCGCUUCCGUCGCACAGAGCCUGACGAAGGCUUGGGCUCCCCGCGCGGUGACCGUCGAGGUGACCUGCACCUGGCUCCAUGGCGGAACCGGCCGGCACGGAUUAUUCCCCUCUCGGGAGAGGUCUGCAGCCGGGCCUCAGUGCUUCAGUUCGUGGCCUGGCAUUUUGUGAAGAGUGUCUUCAUCUCUGCAUCCCUAGUGCAACAGAGCAUGACAAAAAUUCAACAAAUAUUUAUUGAAGAGUCUUGAUGUCUUUUGGGAAAGGAACUCUAUGGUUACCUUUACUCUAAGAUUAGAUGGGUGUUACUGAUUCUUACCUCAGAGAAGAGAAUGUCAUGGAGACAAAAUGACCUGCUUAGAGUUCUGCACCCCCCAGCAUGGAGAGCAGAGCGCAAAGAUUUCUUCCGGACUCCCACAUUCCCCUUGGAAUCCAAGAACUGGUCUACUGUCACAACACUUUAGUACCCUCUUCUCCCAAGGAGGCAGCAGAAACUGGGGUAAUCACAACGGUCAACAGCAGCAAAGGCAGCACUUUCUGAUUUACUUGACUGCUAUGGAUGCCACCUCUCUCCACGCCUCAGUUUAAUAUCUAACCCUUCAGGGAGCUCCACUGCCUAUAAGGAAAAGUCCACAUCUGGGCACUUGGGUCUCCAUGAGCUUCUGCCUGCUUAUGGCUCCAGUCUUACCUCUCACUGCUUCCUGCAUUAAACGUUUGCCCUAAACAUUGAACUGGGUUCAUUGUUGCAUGUUCCCCUUCACCCCCAAAUCAGACUUUGCUCAUCCCCAGGAUACCUUUCAACUUCCCCCACCUCCCCACCUGCCUAACACCACCACUCACUAACAAGGAGCUGUGCUCCGAAGCUUGUGGACAGCUGUGUCAUGGAGGAGCUGCCGUGCUCUGUCCAGAGGGCUGUCUCUUGAGCACAGAGACUGAGCCUUCCCCACCUCUCUAGCCUCUAGUCCCAAGCACAGCCUGCCCCCUGGUAGCCCCUAGGAAAUUUCCACCAAAUGCAUGCAAGGUCUUGCAGCUGCCCCACAGCUUGACAUCCCACUUCCUCCUGAGCCUCCUCCUCCACUGUCUUCUAUCCUCUGCUCAAAGCCCUUAACCGAUGCCCCGGUUUUUCAAGGGCAGCUUCUUCAGUGUUGUUUGUUCAUUCACUCAACUAACAAGGGCUGACCAUGCAUCGGCCUUGAGGGACUGAGGAACAAAGGUGCUCACACUCUGAUGGGAGGCACACGGAAGCAGUGGCAAUAAAAUCUGUAAAGUCUUCUGUGAGAAGUUAAAGAGAAAAUGCUAGAGGAUCCCAGAGGAGGAAGCUACUGCUGACUGUGUGGUGGCUCCUCCCCAGCCUCGUACCCUGACUCUCACUCUUCAGCCUGCCCCAGUUCCCCUCUAAGCUACACCUUCUCCAGGAAAUCGCAGCACACCCAUGGCAUCCACCUUUCCACUGAAGACUCCUGAGUAUUCAGCCCCAACCUCUCUCUGAGGAUUAGAGAAGUUAGGUAACCUGGCCAAGGCCACACAGCUAGGGGCAGCAGGGAUGGCGCUCUCCUAGGACCAUGCUGCACUCCUCCAAAUCUGCUCCUUGCUCCCCUCCCAUCCAUCUCCACCUUCUUUGCCCUGCUGUGUGUCCUGGGAGGCUGAUCUGUGAGGAUGUCUUGGUGGCUGCCUUCGGUGGAUUUGGCUAGUAACCCUCAGAGGAGUGGAGGAAAGGAGGAACAUGAAACCGGGGAAUUAACUCCUCUGUCAUGCUCCCAGCAAGACCACCUAGGUUGGCUGUCCCUUGGCAGAAGGGGAUCCUCUCAAGGGAGCUUCUCUACAAGACCCUCUCCUUCUGGUCCAGGACCUGAAAGCCUCUGAAGUUCACUCCUUCGGCCCCACUCCCUUCCUGCUGCCUUUGGGCUCUCCUCAUGUGACUCUGCCUGUUGAAACUGUCUGCUAGCUGGCCCAGCAUCUCCAGGCAUGGCCUCACUCAUCCACCUCUCCCUUGCUGAAGGUCUCCUCAUGUAACACACGAUUCCUUUAGAUGGUCCUUCAUCACCAGCAAGAUGAAACCUAAAUUCAUUGGCAUGGUAGACAAAACUCUAGCCUUGCCUCCCAGAGGCCAGUCUCUGUCUCCGCCACUCCCCAGGUGGACUGCAUUGUGUUUCUGCUGCCAUAAACAUAAUUUAUUCUGACUGGAACAUCUUCUGUGCAUGUCUGCAGAGUGCACUUCACUCCCCCUGCAGUUCAAGCAUCCUUCCUCCACAAAGCCUUUUCUUUUGAUCACUGCAGGACCUGUAAAAGCUAUCCUGGGAUAGCCUGUAUUUACUGGACUGAAAUGAUCUGUUUGCCUAUCAAUUUCCCCAAAUGAUAUAUGGCAAGGAGUAGUUGAAUCUAAGAGCAGAUCUCAAAGCCUAUGUCCUUUCCAUUGCCUUGUACCCUGCUCCCCUCAAGAAUACCUAUUUUUUGGGGUUGGUGGGAGGAUCAUGUGAGAUAAUGCAUGGGCAGUGCCUGGCACACAGUAAGUGCUCAAUAAAUAC
ensembl:lncRNA LAMTOR5-AS1 LAMTOR5 and SLC16A4 antisense RNA 1